GAUGAACGCUAGCGGCAGGCCUAAUACAUGCAAGUCGAACGGUGUCUUCGGACAUAGUGGCGCACGGGUGCGUAACACGUAUGCAACCUACCUUACAUUGGGGGAUAGCCUUUCGAAAGGGAGAUUAAUACCGCAUAAGACAGUAGCUGGGCAUCCAGCAGCUGUUAAAGAUUUAUCGAUGUAAGCUGGGCAUGCGUCCAAUUAGCUAGUUGGUGAGGUAACGGCUCACCAAGGCUAUGAUUGGUAGGGGAACUGAGAGGUCAAUCCCCCACACUGGAACUGAGAAAGGGGCCAGACUCCUACGGGAGGAAGCAGUAGGGAAUAUUGGGAAAUGGAGGAAAGUCUGACCCAGCAAUGCCGCGUGCAGGAUGAAGGCGUUAUGCGUUGUAAACUGCUUUUAUACAGGAAGAAACGACUCUUGCGAGAGGCAUUGACGGUACUGUAUGAAUAAGCACCGGCUAACUCCGCGCCAGCCGCCGCCGCAACAC
rnacentral:rRNA from 1 species